rnacentral:tRNA from 1 species
GGCCUGAUGGUCUAGUAGUAUGAUUCCUUGUUAGGGCUUUCUAGCUUUCGAGGAGGUCCCGGGUUCAAUUCCCGGUCAGGCCC